UACGGGGGGGGUAAGCGUUGUUCGGAAUUACUGGGCGUAAAGGGCUCGUAGGCGGCCAACUAAGUCAUACGUGAAAUCCCUCAGCUUAACUGGGGAACUGCGUGUGAUACUGGAUGGCUUGGAUUUGGGAGAGGGAUGCGGAAUUCCAGGUGUAGCGGUGAAAUGCGUAGAUAUCUGGAGGAACACCGGUGGCGAAGGCGGCAUCCUGGACCAAUAUUGACGCUCAUGUGCGAAAGCGUGGGGAGCAAACAGG
rnacentral:rRNA from 1 species